UACAGAGGCCUCAAGCGUUAGGCGGAAUCACUGGGCUUAAAGCGUGUGUAGGUGGAUGCCUAAGUACCUUGUGAAAUCCCACGGCUUAACCAUGGAAUUGCUUGGUAUACUGGGUGUCUUGAGCCACUCAGGGGCUACCGGAACAAACGGUGGAGCGGUGAAAUACGUAGAUAUCGUUUGGAACGCCAAUGGUGAAAACAGGUAGCUGGGGGUGUGCUGACACUGAGACACGAAAGCCAGGGGAGCAAACGGG
rnacentral:rRNA from 1 species